UCUCCGUUGGUGAACCAGCGGAGGGAUCAUUACCGAGUGCAAACCCAUAACCCUUUGUGAACCUAUAUCUGUUGCUUCGGCGGCUCGCUCUCGGGCGAGCCCGCCGGUAAUAUCAGUAUCUCUGUUUGAACCCGACGAUACUUCUGAGUGUUCUUAGCGAACAGUUAAAACUUUUAACAACGGAUCUCUUGGCUCUA
rnacentral:misc_RNA from 1 species